rnacentral:rRNA from 1 species
ACCGUGUACGUACAAGCAGUGGGAGCCUCUUUAUGGGGUGACUGCGUACCUUUUGUAUAAUGGGUCAGCGACUUAUAUUCUGUAGCAAGGUUAACCGAAUAGGGGAGCCGAAGGGAAACCGAGUCUUAACUGGGCGUUAAGUUGCAGGGUAUAGACCCGAAACCCGGUGAUCUAGCCAUGGGCAGGUUGAAGGUUGGGUAACACUAACUGGAGGACCGAACCGACUAAUGUUGAAAAAUUAGCGGAUGACUUGUGGCUGGGGGUGAAAGGCCAAUCAAACCGGGAGAUAGCUGGUUCUCCCCGAAAGCUAUUUAGGUAGCGCCUCGUGAAUUCAUCUCCGGGGGUAGAGCACUGUUUCGGCAAGGGGGUCAUCCCGACUUACCAACCCGAUGCAAACUGCGAAUACCGGAGAAUGUUAUCACGGGAGACACACGGCGGGUGCUAACGUCCGUCGUGAAGAGGGAAACAACCCAGACCGCCAGCUAAGGUCCCAAAGUCAUGGUUAAGUGGGAAACGAUGUGGGAAGGCCCAGACAGCCAGGAUGUUGGCUUAGAAGCAGCCAUCAUUUAAAGAAAGCGUAAUAGCUCACUGGUCGAGUCGGCCUGCGCGGAAGAUGUAACGGGGCUAAACCAUGCACCGAAGCUGCGGCAGCGACACUAUGUGUUGUUGGGUAGGGGAGCGUUCUGUAAGCCUGUGAAGGUGGCCUGUGAGGGUUGCUGGAGGUAUCAGAAGUGCGAAUGCUGACAUAAGUAACGAUAAAGCGGGUGAAAAGCCCGCUCGCCGGAAGACCAAGGGUUCCUGUCCAACGUUAAUCGGGGCAGGGUGAGUCGACCCCUAAGGCGAGGCCGAAAGGCGUAGUCGAUGGGAAACAGGUUAAUAUUCCUGUACUUGGUGUUACUGCGAAGGGGGGACGGAGAAGGCUAUGUUGGCCGGGCGACGGUUGUCCCGGUUUAAGCGUGUAGGCUGGUUUUCCAGGCAAAUCCGGAAAACCAAGGCUGAGGCGUGAUGACGAGGCACUACAGUGCUGAAGCGACAAAUGCCCUGCUUCCAGGAAAAGCCUCUAAGCAUCAGGUAACAUCAAAUCGUACCCCAAACCGACACAGGUGGUCAGGUAGAGAAUACCAAGGCGCUUGAGAGAACUCGGGUGAAGGAACUAGGCAAAAUGGUGCCGUAACUUCGGGAGAAGGCACGCUGAUAUGUAGGUGAAGCGACUUGCUCGUGGAGCUGAAAUCAGUCGAAGAUACCAGCUGGCUGCAACUGUUUAUUAAAAACACAGCACUGUGCAAACACGAAAGUGGACGUAUACGGUGUGACGCCUGCCCGGUGCCGGAAGGUUAAUUGAUGGGGUUAGCGGUAACGCGAAGCUCUUGAUCGAAGCCCCGGUAAACGGCGGCCGUAACUAUAACGGUCCUAAGGUAGCGAAAUUCCUUGUCGGGUAAGUUCCGACCUGCACGAAUGGCGUAAUGAUGGCCAGGCUGUCUCCACCCGAGACUCAGUGAAAUUGAACUCGCUGUGAAGAUGCAGUGUACCCGCGGCAAGACGGAAAGACCCCGUGAACCUUUACUAUAGCUUGACACUGAACAUUGAGCCUUGAUGUGUAGGAUAGGUGGGAGGCUUUGAAGUGUGGACGCCAGUCUGCAUGGAGCCGACCUUGAAAUACCACCCUUUAAUGUUUGAUGUUCUAACGUUGGCCCGUAAUCCGGGUUGCGGACAGUGUCUGGUGGGUAGUUUGACUGGGGCGGUCUCCUCCUAAAGAGUAACGGAGGAGCACGAAGGUUGGCUAAUCCUGGUCGGACAUCAGGAGGUUAGUGCAAUGGCAUAAGCCAGCUUGACUGCGAGCGUGACGGCGCGAGCAGGUGCGAAAGCAGGUCAUAGUGAUCCGGUGGUUCUGAAUGGAAGGGCCAUCGCUCAACGGAUAAAAGGUACUCCGGGGAUAACAGGCUGAUACCGCCCAAGAGUUCAUAUCGACGGCGGUGUUUGGCACCUCGAUGUCGGCUCAUCACAUCCUGGGGCUGAAGUAGGUCCCAAGGGUAUGGCUGUUCGCCAUUUAAAGUGGUACGCGAGCUGGGUUUAGAACGUCGUGAGACAGUUCGGUCCCUAUCUGCCGUGGGCGCUGGAGAACUGAGGGGGGCUGCUCCUAGUACGAGAGGACCGGAGUGGACGCAUCACUGGUGUUCGGGUUGUCAUGCCAAUGGCACUGCCCGGUAGCUAAAUGCGGAAGAGAUAAGUGCUGAAAGCAUCUAAGCACGAAACUUGC